GCGGGCGUCAGCCUAGCAGGUAAGGUGCCUGUGUUACACACAGGAGGAUCUGGGUUUGAUUCCUGGCUCCAGCU
rnacentral:tRNA from 1 species